rnacentral:rRNA from 2 species
UUGGAGGGCAAGUCUGGUGCCAGCAGCCGCGGUAAUUCCAGCUCCAAUAGCGUAUAUUAAAGUUGUUGCAGUUAAAAAGCUCGUAGUUGAAUUUCGGGACCAAUUUGUUGGUCGUGCCUCGGUACGUACUGGUAUUAUUGGUUUCUCCCUUCUGAAGAACCUUGAUGUCAUUAAUUUGGUGUCUUGGGGAAUCAGGACUGUUACUUUGAAAAAAUUAGAGUGUUUAAAGCAGGCAUACGCUUGAAUACAUUAGCAUGGAAUAAUGAAAUAGGACGUUUGAUUCUAUUUUGUUGGUUUCUAGGAUCGACGUAAUGAUUAAUAGGGAUAGUUGGGGGCAUUAGUAUUCAAUUGUCAGAGGUGAAAUUCUUGGAUUUAUUGAAGACUAACUACUGCGAAAGCAUUUGCCAAGGAUGUUUUCAUUAAUCAAGAACGAAAGUUAGGGGAUCGAAGACGAUCAGAUACCGUCGUAGUCUUAACCAUAAACUAUGCCGACUAGGGAUCGGAUGAUGUUAUUUUUAAUGACUCAUUCGGCGCCUUACGGGAAAC